AAGAAAACAUGUAUGAAUGUACAACAAAAACAUGAUAAAUGGCAAACACGAGAAAAUAUUGAGUUUUGUGGCAGAUAGAAGCAGCCUCAAAGGCCGCUUUUACUCCGUCACUCGCCAAUAGCCGUAUCUCCCCUCCUGCGUCACAACUUGCUCUGCUGAAAUUAACGCACCAUAACCACGUCAUCUGCCCCAAUGAUCUACGGGCCGGAGAACCAGCGCAGAAAAGGAGUAAGUUUAAUUGGUCGCCAGAUGAAACGGUCUCCUUACAUCAAAUUCAUGAAAAAAUACGUAUAAUCAGAGGGUGUUAUGGGAAGAGUAUCACCCCUGAGGAUAAGAAGAGAGCGUGGACUGAAGUGGCAGAAGCUGUAACAAGUGCCUUCCCUGGGAGUGGACCCGUAUGCAGGAUGACUGUGAGAGGCGUUGGUACAACGUACAACAAAAAUCAAAGCCUCGCAUUGCCAAGUGCAAGAAUGAGCAGCGGCAGACUGAUACACACUUUAUCAGUAUUGCUAGAGACCAUCCCAGCACAUUGUUCAUUACUUGUGGAAAAGAUACCAUCAGCUGCUCCGGCAACAGCCACUGCUUCAACAUCUGCUGACCCUAUGACUCCAGCCACUGCUUCAACAUCUGCUGACCCUAUGACUCCAGCCACUGCUUCAUCAU